AUUUAAAUAAAUUUGUAUGUUUAUUUACUUUUAUAUUAGAUAUAAUAUACUAAUUAAUAAAGUUAAGGCUUUAAUCAAAAUACAUCUAUGAAUUCAGAUAAUUGGAAGAAACUUUAGAAUAUAGAUCAUUUUGUUUGUCUUAAAGCUACAUAUUCAUAUUCUGAUAAAGAAGAAAAUCAUGUAAACUAAAAUCAAAUAUUAUAUUAUUCAUUAUAGCAAACUAUAAAAAUAAACUAAUACAUAACAGAAUAUGAAGCCACAUAUUCUAUAAAAAUAUUAUUUGAAAAAAAUCUUCAAGCAAUUACAGCUCGCUCCAUGUUUCUAAACACCCAAGGUGCUGGGCUAGUAGACUCGCUGGAAAAAAUAAUAUUAUAGAAAUUAUGUUAUAUAGAUAAACUUAUAUAAUUUUUAAAUUAAUAGAUAUUUUUAUUUUUGCAUUUAUUUCUUAUAGGGAAAACAUGUAGUAAAAAAUCAUUUACAUAUAAAGAAUCCAGAAAAUAUUUCCUUUUAUUAUUUAUAUUUUUCAAAAAAGAUAAUUUAAAUUGAAAAGAUAAUUUAAACUAUAUUAAUAGAAAAAAAAAUUUAAGUACUGACAAUUAUGUAUAAUUUUAAUUCAUAAAGGGUAUUCGUAUAAUUGACUUUUUGAGGAUAAAUAUAAGUGUGACACGUAUGAAACUGAUUUAUCAAAUAAUAUUAUAAAAAUAAUUUUGGAACAAAAUGUUUCAAAAUCAAUUUUUUUUUUCUUAAAUCGAGCUUAAAUUCACACAAAAUUAGAUGAUUACAAGGCAAAAUGGUUGACAAAAAGACACAUGCAUAACUACCUAUACAUACCCCAUGAAGCACAUUACUUUACUUACAAAUGCCUCAUUUUGGUUUAUAUUUUAAUUUGCAACAAAAACUAUUUUAUUUCACUAAAUAACGAGUCAAAUCCAAUCAUGUUGCUCGCCAUGGACUUAUUGUAUAUGCUAAAGUAAUGUGAAAUAGGUGCAAGGGUUAGUUACAAUUUUUUGAAGUAAAUCAAAAAGUACCCAAUUUUAUGUUGUUUUGGUAAAACCAAUUCAAAUCAUGUUUAGUUAGAUCAAGAAAAGAUACAACACAAAAGAAGGUUGUAACCGAAAAUAAAAUAAAAUAGCAGAAUUUUAGGUUCACUUGUCAGAGGCAAAAGAUACUAACCAAAUUCUACAUAGAUACCAAACUAAAGUAGAGUAAGAGAGUUUCUAAAAAAAAAAAAAAACUUACUGAAAAGACAAAACCCAAAUCGCUUGGUCACAUGAGAAAAACUCAAUGGUCAUAACAUUUGUAUUUAACACAUUGCACUUUAAUAUCAUAAACUUGAUUCGUGAAAAAAGUUUCUUCAAAAAUAAGGGGGUUGGGACAACAAAAAGAAAACUUUUUGCUUUGUGGAAACAUAGAAACUUCUUAAAUCCAUGAUUUGAAGAAAUUUUUGAUGUCAAACUAGAUGAUAUUCUAUGCAAAAGAGAGAGGAUAAAAAGAUUAUAAAUAUGAACCGAAUUCUAUAUGGAUCACCGGGUUUAUCGGUUCAGCAGCGAGUUCAAGUCAAAUAUUUCUUAACAUAAAUAUAUAGAUCAAAUUCAAAAAAUAAUAUUUAGUACCAACUAACAUUUUUAUCCAAAAAUCAAAUCCGUAAUUUCAAAGCGCGGAACAAAAUCUAGUUUUGAGAUUAUUUAGCGAGUUGUAGUUAGUUCUUUUCCGUAUUACAGUAUUGUACUAUGCACAUACUAUAUGUUUUUGAUUUAAUAUAUUUUCAUAUACUUGUAGAGAACAGCUUGAACAAUGUGCUUCAUUUUUUCAAUCAGAACUCCGACUAUGUAUUGCUGGUUUUUGUUUGAAAAUAUUUGUUGAGGUGUGACUUUGAUUAAGGUCAAGUUUAUGUCACUUAUGUGUGACUGCGGUUAAAAGAAAAAAAAAACAAAAAUCAACCACCGAAUUUGGAAUCCAUUUAGCAUCUGGUUUAAAGCGUAUGAAUAGGAUUCACGUUCACUUUUCUUCUUGCUUGCCAACAGAUGGUGAAGUGAUAAGUGGUAAGGUUUUGAUCUUUUUGUUAUUCAUGAAAAUUGCAUAUGCACACUUAUCUGAUUCCAGUUUGAUAUGAUUUUUUGGCAAGGCAUGAGAAGAGAUGUUAAUGUCUUCAUCUUUCUCAACAUCAGGAAAGCUCUUGAAGGUUUUAGAACUAGAACUCAAAUUACUUUAUAUCACAACACUACUGCUGUCAUUCUAACAAUUUAGUUUCUUGAUUUAUUUCUGUAGAUGGGAUUGCAUUCUACAUUUCAGACAACAAGGUGAUUUUAACUGAAGGCGUUGAUGGUGUAGUGCCUGUUGAUUACUUCCAAAAGAUUGAGUCUUGGCCUAGUUGGCAACCAAUUCCUUUCUGAUUUCUUGUUUAUACAAUACGUUCAUUGAAUUUUUUUAUUGGACGACAUUUGUGACUUAUCAGAUAUACAAUUGUUACCACCUUAGUAUUUAAUAACCUAUGUUGUUCAUGUGGUCUGGAAUUCUGGAAACAAACGUUUUCAGAAAAAAAUGCAUUUAAUCAUUCACAUUUUUUUUCUACUCUUUUAUAGUUUUUCAUCACCAAUACUCGAUCACUAGCGUCCUCCAAAAACUAGAAAUGAUAGGGGUUUUUAUAUGGAUCUUCAGAGUAGAGUAGACAAGGCAAAAUUCCCAAAAUGGUUUGGAGGUUUUUUAAUCUAACAGGAACAGUCAGACGCCUGCUCCAUUGUAAGAGCAAUCUUCGGAUUGCUCCACCUGAUUCCAUGUGAAAACAUUCCAAAAUGGCAUCUAUCUUCAUGCAUUCUCUUUUCAGUUUUUUUUACCUAUUCCAGAUCUGAAAGUAUCAAGAAAAUAUAAAGAAGACUUAUAAAAGCACUAAAAUACCAGCAGGAUACAUAUAUAUAUAAUGGUGUCAAAAACACCAUAUAUCAGUGGGUUGUGUCGAUUCUUCUUCGGUGGAACAAUCGAAUGACAUCAGCGACGAACGGCGGAGGGAAAUGAGAUUAGGUUUAGAGGUUAAGAAAGUGAAAAACUUUGUGUUCGAGUUCCGUAGCGGAGGAGGUAGCUUGUGGAGAAACUGCUUUAGUAAACAUAAACUAAUAUUAAAUUCUUUCAUCUGUUGAGAUUUAUUAAAACUAUUAGUAGAUUGUCCACUUUAAGUUUAAAAGGCAAAUUCCGCAUAUAUUUACUUUUGAUUUUCCUUCCAAAAAGCUUUAUACUAAUUAGAGUUCGACUUCUUUUUAUAUAUUAGACUUUCUUUUGUUUAACUUUUGAUGUGAGAUUUAAAUUGAAAUCUUUUAUUAGCGAUAAAAUUAUCUAUCUUAAGGAUGGAAAUACCAUAUGAGUUUCAGCAGCUGCGGGUAGAUGAUUAUUUUUAGGAAGUAGUGUCUAAUUACGAACAAGAUUUUAUCUCUUGGUUAGCCUUUUCUUGUCUAUUUUACCUAUUUUAAGUUUAAGAAUUGUCUCUAAUUACCUAAAUCAUUGAUGUGUAUUUCAAUUCUUGUGGUUAAACUUUAUUGUAGGAUGAAAAGUAAAAGACUAAACUAACCAUCGUGUCAUUAUAAAUAGAAAUUUAUCUUAGGCUCAGUUCCUCGUACAAUACACAUAAUAUACCUUCAAACUAAAAAAAAGAAAGGAGAAAAAGUAAAAAAGUAAAAUAUAGCAUGGCUAAGUUUGCUUCCAUCAUCACCUUCCUCUUCGUUGUUCUUAUUAUCUUUUCUGCUUUUGAAGCACCAACGAUUGUGGAAGGGCAGAGGUCAUGCAAGAGGCAGCCUAAUUCAGGGAGAAAAUAUUGUAUGAAGGAUAGUGAAUGCCGGAAGGUUUGCAUCGAAGCCGAGAAAGCAACACGUGCUACUUGUGAUUAUACAUUCCCAAGGCGCCGGUGUUUCUGCCACUUUCCAUGUCAAUAAACAGAGCCGUUCCAAGACAUUUUUAUGCCCUAUGCCAAAUAAAUAUUACUAGAUGACUUUCUGCGAUAUCGCGGGAUAAAGUCCAUUUCAAUAUUAUUAUAAUAAGUUUUCUAUAUCAUUGAAUAUAAAAAUUUCGAUUACUUAAAUUUUUGAUAAAAAUUAAUGAA